CGGAUUCCAUUGGCUUCAAUAACACGUUUGUUGUCUAUAAUGGGAGGUGGCCACCACCGCCAUUUUGACCGUGUCAUAGGUUCCGUCCAGCCCAGACAAUUCCAUAAAAGGGAAGAGAGGAGGCGCUGAGGGUGUGGCUGUAAGGCUGGGCUCGAGUGACGACACCCAGGCGAACUAGCUACGAGCUAACCUGAAGCUAACCCUGGCUAACCCAAAGCUAAAGCGGAGGUGGGAGCCGAGCUAACGGAUGUAGCCACCUAGCUUCAACCCAACCGGAGCUAACUGGAACACCCAUCGACCUGAACCUCACACGGAGUUUAGGUGGAGGUUUUCUGCGCCUGUUCGUGAGAAGUACCUGUAUUAAAAAAGUUUUAAAUCGAUCUAUUAAAAGGUCACCAUGGCAGCCUGUGUGUCAACGUCAGCUACACAAAGCAGCAAGUGUAAGUACCAAGUACUUGUCUUGACCACUUCAUGAAUGGUUUUGUACUUUAAACAGCUAGGCCAAACCUGUUAUUUUUUCCUCCAUAGCCAUUUGGAUCAUUGGAGACAGCUGAGUGAGGCGUGGUGCCCAGAGAGCUGCAGAGACAACCUUGGCCUCCCUGACGUCUGUGUCUCUUGGUUUGGUUGGGGCGGACCAUCGACAUACAUACAUGUGCCGACACUUUGCGCCCUGUUUUAUAAACUGUAGUGUUAAAAAUAAAUGUUUUUGCUCAA